rnacentral:rRNA from 1 species
UACGUAGGGUGCGAGCGUUGUCCGGAAUUAUUGGGCGUAAAGAGCUCGUAGGCGGUCUGUCGCGUCGGUCGUGAAAACUUGGGGCUUAACCCUGAGCUUGCGGUCGAUACGGGCAUGACUGGAGUUCGGUAGGGGAGACUGGAAUUCCUGGUGUAGCGGUGAAAUGCGCAGAUAUCAGGAGGAACACCGGUGGCGAAGGCGGGUCUCUGGGCCGAUACUGACGCUGAGGAGCGAAAGCGUGGGGAGCGAAUGGG